rnacentral:lncRNA from 1 species
GUUUUUUACCAGGUCAAAUAACUCAAUAUGGCGAUAACUCGAGGUGGGUCUCCGAGUCGCCACUGCUAUGAAUUUAUUAUUACCUGGUGAAGUGGCUGGAGUGAACGCGUGGAGUCCAGGUGGUGUGACUCGUUGAAUCGACACUGACUCAGUCGAAACCAGUCCAGUUUGGGGCAGAAUCACUUUGUACACACUGAUCCAGUCAUCUUCUUCGCUUUUUCUGUGGAAAAACAGUGUUGACUCGUCGACCCAACACGGCCAUCCGCCGUUUUCAACUAUCUUGACCCGCUGAGUCCCAUCCCGAGUCAGGAAAAUA